rnacentral:rRNA from 1 species
CUUGAAUUACUAUAAGAGGUCCAGCCUGCCCAGUGACUAAGUUCAACGGCCGCGGUAUUCUAACCGUGCGAAGGUAGCGUAAUCACUUGUUCUUUAAAUGAGGACUAGUAUGAAUGGCACCACGAAGGUUAUACUGUCUCCUUUCCCCAAUCAGUGAAACUAAUCUCCCCGUGAAGAAGCGGGGAUAAGAAUAUAAGACGAGAAGACCCUAUGGAGCUUUAAACAACGCAGCAAUUGCUACCACUCCGAUGAACCUCCGAGUCUCUAAAUUACCUUAGCACUUUGACAGCAAGUUUUAGGUUGGGGUGACCGCGGAGUAUAACAUAACCUCCACGCUGAAAGAAUCUUAUUCUGAGCCGAGAGCUACUAUUCUAAGCACCAACAUACUGACAUCUAUUGACCCAAUACA